GACGAACCGUGCGAACGUUGUUCGGAUUCACUGGGCUUAAAGGGCGCGUAGGCGGCUUGCCAAGUCAGGGGUGAAAUCUUUCGGCUCAACCGGAAAACAGCCCCUGAUACUGGUGAGCUGGAGGGAGGUAGGGGCGGAUGGAACUUCCGGUGGAGCGGUGAAAUGCGUAGAUAUCGGAAGGAACGCCGGUGGCGAAAGCGAUCCGCUGGACCUCUUCUGACGCUGAGGCGCGAAAGCCAGGGAGCAAACGGG
rnacentral:rRNA from 1 species